AUUGAACGCUGGCGGCAGGCCUAACACAUGCAAGUCGAGCGGAUGAGGGGAGCUUGCUCCUUGAUUCAGCGGCGGACGGGUGAGUAAUGCCUAGGAAUCUGCCUGGUAGUGGGGGACAACGUUUCGAAAGGAACGCUAAUACCGCAUACGUCCUACGGGAGAAAGCAGGGGACCUUCGGGCCUUGCGCUAUCAGAUGAGCCUAGGUCGGAUUAGCUAGUAGGUGGGGUAAUGGCCCACCUAGGCGACGAUCCGUAACUGGUCUGAGAGGAUGAUCAGUCACACUGGAACUGAGACACGGUCCAGACUCCUACGGGAGGCAGCAGUGGGGAAUAUUGGACAAUGGGCGAAAGCCUGAUCCAGCCAUGCUGCGUGUGUGAAGAAGGUCUUCGGAUUGUAAAGCACUUUAAGUUGGGAGGGAGGGCAGUUAGUUAAUACCUGACUGUUUUGACGUUACCAACAGAAUAAGCACCGGCUAACUUCGUGCCAGCCGCCGCCGUAAUAC
rnacentral:rRNA from 1 species